rnacentral:rRNA from 1 species
ACAGAGGGUGCGAACGUUGUUCGGAAUUACUGGGCGUAAAGCGCGUGUAGGCGGUUAUGCAAGUCGGGUGUGAAAGCCCUCGGCUCAACUGGGGAAGUGCACUCGAAACUGCAUAACUUGAGUCCCGGAGAGGAUGGUGGAAUUCUCGGUGUAGAGGUGAAAUUCGUAGAUAUCGAGAGGAACACCGGUGGCGAAGGCGGCCAUCUGGACGGUGACUGACGCUGAGACGCGAAAGCAUGGGGAGCAAACAG